GCCAUCACAUCUCAAAAAGCAUAUUCUCAAUCAGAUCAUCGCCAUGCAUGGUUUCAAGAAAAUCACCAAAGGUUCCCAGAGUGUGUUAACCGAUGUUGCGCGGACAUUGAAUCUGAUGGAUCCAUCACGCUCCACUCUGAAAGAGAAAAUCUCGCCAUGCGCAUCUAUCACUCUGAACGAAAUAACGACUGACCUAAACAACCUUGCUUGGGGC